rnacentral:tRNA from 1 species
GGGCCUAUGGUUCAGUGGUAGAACACGGCAUUCGCAUUGCUGAGACGGCAGUUCGAUUCUGCCUAGGUCCACAA